UACGUAGGGUGCGAGCGUUGUCCGGAUUUAUUGGGCGUAAAGAGCUCGUAGGCGGUUUGUCGCGUCUGCUGUGAAAACUGGAGGCUCAACCUCCAGCCUGCAGUGGGUACGGGCAGACUAGAGUGCGGUAGGGGAGAUUGGAAUUCCUGGUGUAGCGGUGGAAUGCGCAGAUAUCAGGAGGAACACCGAUGGCGAAGGCAGAUCUCUGGGCCGUAACUGACGCUGAGGAGCGAAAGCAUGGGGAGCGAACAGG
rnacentral:rRNA from 1 species